rnacentral:lncRNA from 1 species
ACGCCAGUAUGACAAAUGUUGCUUCCAGAGACAUGCCAUACAUUGAGUCCAGAAAGACUGUGAAAAUUGAGUUUCAAAAUGCAGAUCCUUUGUACCAGGACGAGGCGUACUUAAUUCAGCAAUUAAGGCUUUGUUCCUCUUGUAGAGGUCUGAUUUCUUGUACAAAUCAGCAAAGUCAACUCCUAACAUCAUUUCUUGAGAUGCGGCUGUGACUUCUAACAUCCAAGUUGCUGGAUUGUAAGCCUCUUUAAUCUUACUAACCCCAGGCAAUGACUGAACUCAAGACGAAACUAAAAUUAGUAUUUGAUUAUAUAAACUAGGAAAAAGUAAACACAUAUUUUUCUUUGCUAACGUACCUCAAAGUAUUUGAUCAAAUGACAAGAAGAGCGACCCAGAGGACCAACAUAUAUCUCCUGUCCUCCUCGUUUCAUUAGAAACAGCUGCAAAGCCGUGUUUCACUUUUAAUACAGGCGGCAAAGAGAAUGUGGAAACAAUAUGCUUGGAAGGUUAAUAAUCUCACCUCAUCAAAGGCUUCAAAAAUGUCGAUGCUAGGCUGAUGAAUGGUACAGACGACGGUUCUUCCUGUAUCGAUGUACUAAUUCAGUAAUCAAGGCUUUGUUCCUCUUGUAGAGAUCUGAUUUCUUGUACAAAUCAACAAAGUCAACUCCUAACGUCAUUUCUUGAGAUGCGGCUGUGACUUCUAACAUCCAAGUUGCUGGAUUGUAAGCCU